GACGAACGCUGGCGGCGUGCUUAACACAUGCAAGUCGAACGGAAAGGCCCUGCUUUUGUGGGGUGCUCGAGUGGCGAACGGGUGAGUAACACGUGAGUAACCUGCCCUUGACUUUGGGAUAACUUCAGGAAACUGGGGCUAAUACCGGAUAGGAGCUCCUGCUGCAUGGUGGGGGUUGGAAUGUUUCGGCGGUUGGGGAUGGACUCGGGGGUUAUCAGCUUGUUGGUGGGGUAGUGGCUUACCAAGGCCUUGACGGGUAGCCGGCCUGAGAGGGUGACCGGCCACAUGGGGACUGAGAUACGGCCCAGUCUCCUACGGGAGGCAGCAGUGGGGAAUAUUGCACAAUGGGCGGAAGCCUGAUGCAGCAACGCCGCGUGCGGGAUGACGGCCUUCGGGUUGUAAACCGCUUUCGCCUGUGACGAAGCGUGAGUGACGGUAAUGGGUAAAGAAGCACCGGCUAACUACGUG
rnacentral:rRNA from 1 species